rnacentral:rRNA from 1 species
AUUGAACGCUGGCGGCAGGCCUAACACAUGCAAGUCGAACGAGUGGCGGACGGGUGAGCAAUGUCUGGGAAACUGCCUGAUGGAGGGGGAUAACUACUGGAAACGGUAGCUACUACCGCAUACCAUCAGAUGUGCCCAGAUGGGAUUAGCUAGUUGGUGGGGUAACGGCUUACCAAGGCGACGAUCCCUAGCUGGUCUGAGAGGAUGACCGGCCACACUGGAACUGAGACACGGUCCAGACUCCUACGGGAGGCAGCAGUGGGGAAGAUUGCACAAUGGGCGAAAGCCUGACGCAGCCAUGCCGCGUGUAUGAAGAAGGCCUUAGGGUUGUAAAGUACUUUCAUCGGGGAGGCGGUACCCGCAGAAGAAGCACCGGCUAACUCCGUGCCAGCAGCCGCGGUAAUAC